rnacentral:tRNA from 1 species
AAUAAAAUGCCUGAAUAAAGGGUUAUCUUGAUAGGAUAAAUUAUGUGUUAUUUAUUUCACUUUUAUUA